rfam:Oryza sativa Japonica Group DNA, chromosome 1, cultivar: Nipponbare, complete sequence.
UACAAUGUUUGGCUCUUCGUCUUAUUUAAAAAUUUUCUAUGAUUACUAUUACUAUUAUUAUUAUUAGAUGAUAAAAUAUGAAUAAUACUUUAUGUGUGACUAAUUUUUUUUAAAAAAAAAUUAAAUAAGACGGACCAUCAAACGUUGGACACAGAAACACA